CAUCCUACGGGGGGCAGCAGUGGGGAAUAUUGGGCAAUGGAGGAAACUCUGACCCAGCAACGCCGCGUGAAUGAUGAAGGUCUUCGGAUUGUAAAGUUCUUUUCUAAGGGAAGAAGAAAGUGACGGUACCUUAGGAAUAAGCCUCGGCUAACUACGUGCCAGCAGCCGCGGUAAUACGUAGGGGGCAAGCGUUAUCCGGAUUUACUGGGUGUAAAGGGAGCGCAGACGGCUGUGCAAGUCUGGAGUGAAAGGCGGGGGCCCAACCCCCGGACUGCUCUGGAAACUGUAAAGCUGGAGUGCAGGAG
rnacentral:rRNA from 1 species